GACGAACGCUGGCGGCGUGCCUAAUACAUGCAAGUAGAACGCUGAAGGAGGAGCUUGCUCUUCUGGAUGAGUUGCGAACGGGUGAGUAACGCGUAGGUAACCUGCCUGGUAGCGGGGGAUAACUAUUGGAAACGAUAGCUAAUACCGCAUAAGAGUAGAUGUUGCAUGACAUUUGCUUAAAAGGUGCAAUUGCAUCACUACCAGAUGGACCUGCGUUGUAUUAGCUAGUUGGUGGGGUAACGGCUCACCAAGGCGACGAUACAUAGCCGACCUGAGAGGGGGAUCGGCCACACUGGGACUGAGACACGGCCCAGACUCCUACGGGAGGCAGCAGUAGGGAAUCUUCGGCAAUGGACGGAAGUCUGACCGAGCAACGCCGCGGGAGUGAAGAAGGUUGUCGGAUCGUAAAGCUCUGUUGUAAGAGAAGAACGAGUGUGAGAGUGGAAAGUUCACACUGUGACGGUAGCUUACCAGAAAGGGACGGCUAACUACGUG
rnacentral:rRNA from 1 species